rnacentral:rRNA from 1 species
GACGAACGCUGGCGGCGUGCUUAACACAUGCAAGUCGAACGGAAAGGCCCUGCUUUUGUGGGGUUCUCGAGUGGCGAACGGGUGAUUAACACGUGAGUAACCUGCCCUUGACUUUGUGAUAACUUCAGGUAACUGGGGCUAAUACCGGAUAGGAGCUCCUGCUGCAUGGUGGGGGUUGGAAAGUUUCGGCGGUUGGGGAUGGACUCGCGGGUUAUCAGCUUGUUGGUGGGGUAGUGGCUUACCAAGGCUUUGACGGGUAGCCGGCCUGAGAGGGUGACCGGCAACAAUGGGACUGAGAUACGGACCAGACUCCAACGGGAGGCAGCAGUGGGGAAUAUUGCACAAUGGGCGGAAGCCUGAUGCAGCAACGCCGCGUGCGGGAUGACGGCCUUCGGGUUGUAAACCGCUUUCGCCUGUGACGAAGCGUGAGUGACGGUAAUGGGUAAAGAAGCACCGGCUAACUACGUG